GACGAACGCUGGCGGCGUGCCUAAUACAUGCAAGUCGAACGGUUUAGUUCCAAGAGGCUUGCCUUUUGGAACUAGACAGUGGCGGACGGGUGAGUAACACGUAGGCAACCUACCUGUCAAACCGGGAUAACCUCGGGAAACCGAAGCUAAACCCGGAUAAGCUCCUUUUUCGCAUGAAGGGGGAGCGAAAAGGUGCGACCUGAUGACAGAUGGGCCUGCGGCGCAUUAGCUAGUAGGUAGGGUAACGGCCUACCUAGGCGAUGAUGCGUAGCCGACCUGAGAGGGCGUACGGCCACACUGGGACUGAGAUACGGCCCAGACUCCUACGGGAGGCAGCAGUAGGGAAUCUUCGGCAAUGGGCGAAAGCCUGACCGAGCAACGCCGCGUGAGUGAGGAAGGCCUUCGGGUUGUAAAACUCUGUUGUUUGGGAAGAAGGGAAAGGGUAGGACCCUUAGGUGACGGUACCAAACGAGAAAGCCCCGGCUAACUACGUG
rnacentral:rRNA from 1 species